UAAAGCCACUUUAUGUAUAGCUUAGUUUGUUCAUAUGCGGCAUAAUAGCCUACAACGUAGCGGUGUCAGAUCAUUGAGAAUGUUUUUCAUUUAUGAAAAUUAUCGAUUCUCAAUCAUGCGACACUUUAAUCGCUAUCCCAUAUUAAUUUAGGGAAUGGGACUCUUCACCGAGGUUGUAAAAUGAGACAAACGAUUUUAGCUGUAU
rnacentral:ncRNA from 1 species